rnacentral:rRNA from 1 species
UACGGGGGGAGCAAGCGUUGUUCGGAUUUACUGGGCGUAAAGGGCGCGUAGGCGGCGUGACAAGUCACUUGUGAAAUCUCCGGGCUUAACUCGGAACGGUCAAGUGAUACUGUCGUGCUAGAGUACAGAAGGGGCAACUGGAAUUCUCGGUGUAGCGGUGAAAUGCGUAGAUAUCUGGAGGAACACCGGUGGCGAAGGCGGCAUCCUGGACCGACACUGACGCUGAGGAGCGAAAGCCAGGGGAGCAAACGGG